UUUUGUUAUUCUCUCUCACUGUUAUUAUUAUGAUAUUAUUAUUAUUAUGAUAUUUAUAGAGCGCCGUCAAAUUCCGCAGCGUUUUACAAUGGGACUGAUGAUUUCUUUGUCAGUAUGCAAACGUUCAAAAUCAGCAGGUGAUCAAAUAUGUUUUUUCCUUCACUGUAGUUGUUAAUGGAAAUAUUUCAAAUUGGACACAAGUGGUAAGUGGAGUGACUCAAGAUUCUGUCUUUACUUCACUUUCUUUAACCUGUUUAUAAAUUAUCUUAAAUUGGGCAUUUACAGUCAUGUGUCUGUGUUUGUAGGUAAAACAAAAUUGCCAGGGUUAUCCACUAAAGUAAGAAUUCAAAGCAAAUUUUAAGUGUAC